UACGUAGGGGGCAAGCGUUGUCCGGAAUCAUUGGGCGUAAAGAGCGCGUAGGCGGUCCGGUAAGUCCGCUGUGAAAGUCAAGGGCUCAACCCUUGAAUGCCGGUGGAUACUGUCGGGCUAGAGUCCGGAAGAGGCGAGUGGAAUUCCUGGUGUAGCGGUGAAAUGCGCAGAUAUCAGGAGGAACACCAAUGGCGAAGGCAGCUCGCUGGGACGGUACUGACGCUGAGGCGCGAAAGCGUAGGGAGCAAACAGG
rnacentral:rRNA from 1 species